rnacentral:rRNA from 1 species
UACGUAGGGGGCAAGCGUUGUCCGGAUUUAUUGGGCGUAAAGAGCGUGUAGGCGGCCUGACAAGUCUGCUGUGAAAACUCGAGGCUCAACCUCGAGAUGUCGGCGGAAACUGUCUGGCUAGAGUCCGGAAGAGGAGAGUGGAAUUCCUGGUGUAGCGGUGAAAUGCGUAGAUAUCAGGAGGAACACCUGUGGCGAAGGCGGCCAUCUGGACGAUAACUGACGUGAGACGCGAAAGCGUGGGUGGCAAACAGG